UUUCUUUUAUUUUCAGAAAUCUGC
rnacentral:siRNA from 1 species